AACAGGGAAAAGCUCACAGUUGGAACCUGUCUGACCUAGUCAGUCCGGAUUGUAAACUGAAAAAGUGUUUUCCAGACCAGCCGAGUAAAAAAGUUCCUUGGAAUAGGACAUCAUGGAGGGUGAGAAUCCCGUCUUUGGCUUGAGCAUGGUCUUUUGUGUUGCGCUUUAAAGAGUCAGGUUGUUUGGGAAUGCAGCCUAAAGUGGGAGGUAAAUCCCUCCUAAAGCUAAAUAUUGGCGGAAGACCGAUAGCAAACAAGUACCGUGAGGGAAAGAUGAAAAGAACUUUGAAAAGAGAGUUAAACAGUAUGUGAAAUUGCUAAAAGGGAAGCGUUUGGAGACAGACUGGUUGGUCUGAAAUCAGCCUGGACUUUGGUCUUGGUGUACUUUCGGACUAUGCCUGCCAACAGCAGUUUGGUUUGACUGAAAAAACUAGUAGUAAGGUGGCUCCUCCGGGAGUGUUAUAGACUAUUAGAAAAUCAGUUGGACUAGACUGAGGAAUGCAAUACGGCUUGCCUGAUGGCCAUGAAGGGUGGAUUCGGACCUUUGUCUGAUGAAGUUUUUCAAGGGUUGUUAGAACUGUAUUUAGGUUGUUGGCUUAAUGUCUCUAAACGGCCCGUCUUGAAACACGGACCA
rnacentral:rRNA from 1 species